GACGAACGCUGGCGGCGUGCCUAAUACAUGCAAGUAGAACGCUGAAGCGAGGAGCUUGCUCUUCUUGGAUGAGUUGCGAACGGGUGAGUAACGCGUAGGUAACCUGCCUUGUAGCGGGGGAUAACUAUUGGAAACGAUAGCUAAUACCGCAUAACAAUGGAUGACACAUGUCAUUUAUUUGAAAGGGGCAAUUGCUCCACUACAAGAUGGACCUGCGUUGUAUUAGCUAGUAGGUGAGGUAAUGGCUCACCUAGGCGACGAUACAUAGCCGACCUGAGAGGGUGAUCGGCCACACUGGGACUGAGACACGGCCCAGACUCCUACGGGAGGCAGCAGUAGGGAAUCUUCGGCAAUGGGGGCAACCCUGACCGAGCAACGCCGCGUGAGUGAAGAAGGUUUUCGGAUCGUAAAGCUCUGUUGUAAGUCAAGAACGGGUGUGAGAGUGGAAAGUUCACACUGUGACGGUAGCUUACCAGAAAGGGACGGCUAACUACGU
rnacentral:rRNA from 1 species